UGUCCCUCAUCGCCAAAGAGGGGCUAGAAAGAAGGUAAGAGCUAAAAGAUGGGGAAAGAGUGCUGUGACACACCAUCUUCUGGUCAUGACUCGGCUAUUCCCCUUGUGACCUCACAGCGGCUAUAGUUACCUACACAAGACUUGCACAAGACGACGCCAGCGAAAAUCCCGGUACAGAUGGGGUAAGUGAUCUCCCUUCCUUCCCCAUGCUUUACUAAGGAGUUACUGGCAGUUGUUAGCUGCUGGAGGAAAGAGAGCCAUUCUUGUCUGAGGAUGUGGCCACUGAUGAUACGGAUGCUGCUGUCCUGCCUAUGCUCUUUGAGAAGCAAAUCUUGGCAGGAUGAGGAAGUGCUCCAGCUCAUCUUUAGUAGAGCUCAAGAGUGACCCCUGCUGACCCCGGGAAUAUGAUCCCCGCAAUGAUGCCAAUUGGUGUUUGGAUGCUGCAUUUUCUGACACAAGAAUCUAUUGCAUCCGGACCACUCUCACACGAGUGUGGGGGAAGAGUAGCCGACUUCCAGUCUUGUUCCCAGGAGGAAGAAUUAAUAACCACAACAAGAGGUGAUGCCUCCUUUCCGGGCUGUCUCAUAAUAGGUCAAAUCAGUCAGCAAGAAAACCCAGAUUCCGAAGUCAUCAGCUCAGUGCAAUAGACCAUAGAAAUUUAAAUCUCAUAAGCCAGAAGAACUUUCAAAUAUUGUCAUUCCAGCAGCUAUAAUCUCUAUAAAGUUCUCUAAAGCAAGGUA